UUGCCAUCUAAGUAUUUCCCUCUCUAUCCCUCGCUGUCUCUCAGUGUCCGUUCAGGAGAGUUUGGAGAGGAAGUUUGGAAAACAGGGAGGGUCGAUCCCUGUUGUUCCCACCGCUGACUUCCAGGCCAGAGUUGCUGAGCUUCUGAGAAGGACAUUGUUCACUCUGGCCUGGCCUACACCAUGGAGAGAUCUGCCAGGAGCUGGCUCUGGCCCUCGACCACCUGCACCAUCUUGGCAUAGUUUACAGAGACCUCAAACCAGACAUGUAUUUUGUGGGACGAAGCAAGGGGACAAGAUGAGGGAAAGUUCCGCUAACAAGGGCAACUACUAGGAGCUUGCAGAGGUAAUUUCACAUUAUUACGCUUUACUUGCUGAGCACAUGGACAUUUCUUCUGUUUUCUCUGUGAUGUC